rnacentral:lncRNA from 1 species
GAGGACAAAGAAUUAAAAAUACAAGAGUUUGUUAUACAAAUUACACAAUCCAAACAACAUCUCACCACAUCUAGACAAAAACACUAUCUAUAAAGUACUACAUCUCAAACACAUUCGAAGGUGAGAACACUAAGAAUGAAAAUUAUAUACAAAACUAAUAUCAUUAGCUCUAAACCACAUCCAAGAAAUCAAUUGCAAACUCUCAACUACUAAAAAAAUAUUACACUUAUCGUGAUUAAAAAUAAACCAAUUACGAGAUUUCUACAUGUACCACCCAAGUCAACCAAAUGACGUCAAUUUUAGUUUGGAUGCCUCGUCCACUAUGAUCAAGACCGAAAACAUGAACUGCAUGAGCUUGAACAUCUUUAUGUAACACACAACACAACCCACCACACAAAACUUUGAAUCAAUAUGAUUUGCUCCUUCUAAGCAAACUGUCUUUUGUAAAUCCAUUUAUUCCACACAAAAGAAUAUAGUGGAUACACCUCGAUGUGUGUUGAUCUUGAUAAAAAGUUGCACACCUCCAUCACAACGUAAGUGCCAAUAGUUACACUUCCACAUGUCAAUAGUAUUCCCCUGAAAAACUACAUUAUCCAACAACAAAACACAUUUCUCACCAACUGAUUUUCCCACUCAAACAAUUCCCUGCACCACCCCAUCAUCCUCAUCACACAUAUUUGCCACCAUAAUAUUUUUAACAGAUGUCAAAUGAUACAGUCUUCUAAAUAUAUCAUGCAAUAUACCUCCCUCUACCCAUAGGUCCUCCCAAAACAAUGUUUCAUCUCCAUUCCCCACAACUUUUCUAACAGUAUCCACAAACCAUCUAUUGUAAUCCUUAUUUCUCGCCCCUCUAACAUAGAAAAUAUAAUCUACCACCACAUUGAAUUCCUAUAAGAACCACCACACAUUAAAUCAGAAACCCUCAUUCGCAUUCCUCCCCCACCAACAUAAUUUAUCUAACAUAGCUAAAUUAAAGGAUUUUAAAUUGUGCACUCCUAACUCACAUUUCUCUCAACUCUGACACGCCAUAUCUCAUUUAACCUAGUGAAUCUUCCUCGCUUCCUCAGUCUCACCCCAUAAAGAGAUUUAAAAAGAGAUUCAAUUUUAGAAAUGAUACCUAAAUGAUUGACUUGAUAUCAUGCACAUUCACCCUAUAGAUAGAUUAUGACAAUAGAGACAAUACAACAUUAAUGAGAACAAGAAGACCCCUAUAGAUAGAUUACGUUUUCUCCACCCAAACACUUGGGCACAAAUAAUAUCAACCAUAUGCUUCUCAAAGUGUGUAUUGCAUUGAUACUUAAAUUAA